GUCUAUGUCUAUACCACCCUUGUCUGAUCUAGGAAGCUAAGCAGGGCUGGGCCUGGUCAGUACUUGGAUGUCAUGGAAACCUGUGAGGAGCUGGAGGGGCU
rnacentral:rRNA from 1 species